rnacentral:pre_miRNA from 1 species
UGGAACUUAUGCGAACGGGCUGUUCCGUCAGUCAAUUCGUUUAAGCUCAA